UUUAGGGUAGACCUUGUUUGAUAUACAUGUUUAGAAAUUUCCUUUAUUAUCUUUAACUGAGGGUUCAUCUUAUUUUGAUUUAUAAGAAUAACUUUUCCUUUUAUCACUGAAAUUUUAGAAUUUAUCUUUUCUUUAUAUCCACCACUUAUACUUACACGUACAUAAUUUCCUCAUUUUACAUGCUUGCUGGGAGUUUUCUGACUCCCCUGGGGUUUGCAUGCCCCAGACUUGGGAUUUGUUCUUUCUUCGCAGGACCAAGAGUACUUUAAGGAUUAAGACCAGCGACAGUGAUCACCUUCUCUCUCUCAGCUUCAGUUAUUGAGUCUUUCUUGAAAUCACUUGUGGUACUUCAGACUAAGAUGUAUUUUCCUCUUUCCUACUUUGAAGAGUUGUAGACAUACUUGGGAUUUGUUCUUUCUUCGCAGGACCAAGAGUACUUUAAGGAUUAAGACCAGCGACAGUGAUCACCUUCUCUCUCUCAGCUUCAGUUAUUGAGUCUUUCUUGAAAUCACUUGUGGUACUUCAGACUAAGAUGUAUUUUCCUCUUUCCUACUUUGAAGAGUUGUAGACAUGUAAGAGAAAUUUGUCUUUUCAGAGUUUUCUUUAUCUAUCUAGUUCCUUUGCUAUUUUA